UUUUUCGUCGAGUUACGUAUAGCUCGACAUAGAGGCGUAGUUCGAGUUAUACAGGUCAUUCUUGAUUAAAUACGACUUACAGAGGUAAUGAGAUAUAGAGUUAAAACAAAUGAAAUUCAAAUUGUAGAGGUAAAGAAUUUAAGAAUAGUGAUAUCUAUUCCAUAUAUUAGGAGUAGAUCGUAUACAUAUUUGAUGAAUUUACUGAAAAAUUAAUUGACAAUAGAAAAUUUCAUAAUGAAAUAGACCCAAUAGACCAAUGACUCCUUUGUUUUACAAAUGCCAAUUGACAAACUUUGAAUAUUUUAAUAGUUUGUCUGAAUAAGAAGGAGUCUGAUUCAGAUUCCAGAACCUCAAAAAAGUUAAUUUAUUCAAAGUGUUAUUGUUCUUUUCUUUUAAGGCAACUUUUUUUUCAACUUUAUAACUCCUGACAAAUUAUUGCAAUUAUAUGCGCAGGAGCAAUUUAUUCAAAUUUUUUAAGCUUGUUUCAGCAAUAGAGAGUGAAAACUCUAAAUAAGUUUUUCGUAAAUCUUCUGAUGAGAGGUCUCACAGGCUUAGGAGAUUCAGGAUAAAAAACAUUAAACAAAAAAUGUAUUUUCUACAGCCUUCACAACACUAAACAAAAAAACUAAACUCUAUAAAAUCUCACGAUGCAAUUAUUGCAUAAUUGAAUACGCGAUUCACCGACACGUUUCGACUUGCAUGCGGGGUUUGGAAUUAACCACCGACUUCGAGUUAUAGAGGUCAUUUUGUGUGUCUUCGACUUAUAGGUGUGAAAUACAUACAUAAAGUCAUUUCCAGUUAUGCAUGAAAAUUCUUUCGACUUGGAAAGUUUUUCCAAGGGGAUUUGAAUAUACAGUGGACUCUCGUUAACUCGAAACACCACGGGACCAAGAUUUUUCGUCGAGUUACGAAUAGUUCGACUGUCGAACUAUUCGUAACUCGACUAUACUGAAUAUAUCCGUAAAAUCGUUUCGAGUUAUGCACGGAAAUUUUUUCGGCUUAGACAGGUUUUUCCAAGGUGAUUAAAAAUAAUUCGAGUUAUCGAGGUUCGAGUUAACGAGAGUCCAAUGUAUUUACGUCUUCCUUCAGAUCAAAUUUCCGAUUAUAGAAUGAUUUUUCAUAUUUAAUUUUUUCAUACAACUGACAACCUUCAUCUCCCCACCCCCCGCGCUGUCACCUAAUACGUUCUAUGUUCGGCCCCCCAAAACAAAAUUCUAGCUCCGCUAUUGAACAUCAAACAAACUAUUUCUUGAUGAAGCCAUAGUGUUGGCGAAACAAUUGUAAGUUACUACUGAUCUUUAAAUUUUGUUACAAUCAUGUCGCCAUAACUAUAGCUUCAUCAGGUUAUUUUGACGAAAAUCAGUCAAGCCAUGUUGGCGAAACAAUUUUCGCAAGAUUGAACGAUUAAUGGAAAUUACUUUGUUUUAUUAUUUUAUCUUUUAUAUAUAAUGUAUUUCUAUCAAGUAAGGACCGAGUCCAAAAAAAAAAAGAAAAGGAUGUUUCAAAAAACCAUACCUUGAAUUGGCCUCAUAAUACAUUAAUAUCAUAGGACAUUGUUUUUUUUUUGUAUAAGUAUAAUGAUAUAAGUAAAAAAAAAUUCUGUAAAAA